GCUGGGCAUGGUGGCACAUGCCUGUAAUCCCAGAGAUUUGGGAGGCUGAGGCAGGAGGAUCCCAAAUUUGAGGCUAGCUUCAGCAACUUAUGGAAACCCUAAGCAAUUUAGUGAGACCCUGUCUCUA
rnacentral:sRNA from 1 species